rnacentral:rRNA from 1 species
GUGUCAGCCGCCGCGGUAAUACGGAGGAUCCGAGCGUUAUCCGGAUUUACUGGGUUUAAAGGGUGCGCAGGCGGCCUUGCAAGUCAGCGGUCAAAUCGUGGAGCUCAACUCCAUUCCGCCGUUGAUACUGCCGGGCUUGAUUGCGGUUGAGGUUGGCGGAAUUCGUCGUGUAGCGGUGAAAUGCAUAGAUAUGACGAAGAACCCCGAUUGCGUAGGCAGCUGACCAAGCCGUAAAUGACGCUCAUGCACGAAAGUGCGGGGAUCGAACAGGAUUAGAUACCCUGGUAGUCCGCACAGUAAACGAUGAAUACUUGCUUUUGGCGGUACACUGUCAGAGGCAAAGCGAAAGCGAUAAGUAUUCCACCUGGGGAGUACGCCGGCAACGGUGAA